rnacentral:lncRNA from 1 species
GGUAACAUAGAAAAUUUGUUUUAAAUUUUUACAUCUUUCUUUAAUUUUUUUUUCUUUUGUGUGCUUGAGCUUGUAGAAAUACAAUUGAUUGGUUAGGAGCACGUACAUAAGUUGCUUGUGUUUACAAAAAAAUUUAGCAUUAUGUUAAGUGAUUUUAAAUUUUUUAUUAUUAGACUACUAAGUUCUACAUGUUACAUUGUAAAUAGGGAUUAAGCAAUCGAUUCUACCAAAUGAUAUAGAAAAUACAAGGAAACGAGCAUGCUAGUAUGAAUG